ensembl:lncRNA
GAUAGAGAGGAGAGAGAGUAAGGGAUAGUGAUAGAGAGUAAGGGAUAGUGAUAGAGAGGAGAGAGAGUAAGGGAUAUUGAUAGAGAGGAGAGAGAGUAAGGGAUAAGAGGAGAGAGAGUAAGGGAUAGUGAUAGAGAGGAGAGAGAGUAAGGGAUAGUGAUAGAGAGUAAGGGAUCGUGAUAGAGAGAAGGAGAGAGAGUAAGGGAUAGUGAUAGAGAGAAGGAGAGAGAGUAAGGGAUAGUGAUAGAGAGAGUAAGGGAUAGUGAUAGAGAGGAGAGAGAGUAAGGGAUAGUGAUAGAGAGAGUAAGGGAUAGUGAUAGAGAGAAGAGAGAGUAAGGGAUAGUGAUAGAGAGGAGAGAGAGUAAGGGAUAGUGAUAGAGAGAAGAGAGAGUAAGGAAUGGUGAUAGAGAGAAGGAGAGAGAGUAAGGGAUGGUGAUAGAGAGAGUAAGGGAUAGUGAUAGAGAGAAGAGAGAGUAAGGAAUGGUGAUAGAGAGAAGGAGAGAGAGUAAGGAAUGGUGAUAGAGAGAAGGAGAGAGAGUAAGGAAUGGUGAUAGAGAGAAGGAG